GUAUAUAAUUCGGCGCACGAACUUUUCUGUGUGUGGUUCUGAUAUAUUAAUUUAUACAUAGUCCUGCUUGCAAAUCAAGUCUGGUUCCUCGAUUCAAGUAUCUAAGACUGAUUCAAGCAGAAUAUGGACCCUGAUUCAUCACACACCAAGCCUGACAGUUUACAUGAAGUAUGUGGCUUUGACUGGAAUGUUAAGGUUGUCUUGGCAUCCAGUUCAGCAGGCAUGAUGUAUGAACCUCUCACUUCAGUCAACUUCAAGACAUCUGAGGGCAAGGAUGUGACACUGGAGCUGACCAAGGGGCAGCUGGAUGAGCUCAUCUCUGCGAUGGAUGCUGCUGUCAAGGCUACCUCAGAACUAGAAAGAUAACAUGCAUCACCUCUAUUCUCUUCAUCUCAUUUAUCAUAGCCAUUGCCAUCAGAAUAUGUUGUUUCAUCACAAGUGCUUGAGAUAUAUCAUGAAAUAAACAAAUUACGAAAACUUAA
rnacentral:lncRNA from 1 species